UUGGCUCCUUCGAAUUACCUGGUUCAAACCAGUACGUCAGACUUCAUUGUCAGAUUUUGCAAACAUCAACAAACUAGGACCAUGACCAACACUGACUUUUCCCUGCAUUUUUGAGUAAGUUUUACCCCAAGUACGAAUAAGAAGAGAAAAAUGAGUUUUGUUUCCCCCCCGAGCCUCGAGUGCAGAUGAUGAGAUGUUUGGAAAAGAGGAAGCACUGGCGCUCGCCUUCCUUCUUCAGAGACAAAGAACCCAGACGGCCUCUGGUGAUCUUGCCCUUCUCGCUCAUUGGCACCUGUAUCAGAGAACCUGUGGAAGGUGUUGUAGCUGCAGAAGACUGCAACUGGCAGGGCACAUUUUACUUAGGCCGACUGCAUCAUCAGCUUGUUUUAAGAUCCUCCUCAUCAUCAACAGCAGCAGCAGCCUUCUUGACUCCUCCAACCUCCCAAAUGUUUCACUUUACUUGCAACCAAGCAUUGCAUUAAUCUAGUACUUUCCAUUCCUCUAGGAAUGAAGAAACACAUUUGAAACGAGUAGGAGUAUCUUAUUGUGUGUGGUACUAAUGUAAGAGCUAUAUCAGUUAAAUCAUGUCGCCACAAAGCGAGCAGACGCAGUUGCCAAGGUAGGAUGCUAUUAAUAUCAAGACAUGGAGUUAAAAUCAAUACGUCAAAACUGCAGGGCAGGGGCAGCCAGUCUCCACCAGGUGGCAGUCCAAACUAAAAGUUUUGUAUCCAGUUUCAAGUGAGCCUCAAAAGCAAUGCCUCAGCAAUCAGGAUUAGAUGCACAAAAAAGUACAUGGCAGCAAGUUCAAGUGUUCUCCCAGUUAAACCUGGUGGUUAUUCUUGAAACCAUGGAAAUUGUUUACAUGCACAUACAAACCCAUCCCAAAAAUAUAUCCCUACCUGCUUCUCCAAGCAUUCCUUGGCAGAGACAGGGGGUUUAGGCGAGGGUGCUCUGUCGCAAACGCAGCCCUCCAGCAAGUAGAGUCCAGAGGGGCGCGAGCUGGAGUCGUUUUCAAAAUAGAAGAGCAUGUUCUGCAGCAAGCAGAACCACUUUGAGUGCCAUUUGGUGUUGUCUGAGCUCUUCUUGCUCAAGCAUCCACGCCUGGUUCCAUCCUUCUUGGCCAGCAGUGCCAGAUAGGUGACAUGGCCAUCAUUGAGCCGCAUGCCCUUCUGCAUGUUGCAGCUCCGGCAAGACGCGCACUGCCGCUGCUUACAUCUUCUCCCUCCCCGCUCUUCCACCGAGAUGCAGUCACAUUUGAUGAUGGGGAACAAUCCUCUGCUCCCGUCACUAAUACAAUCUUUGAGAGAGGACCUCCUCCUCCCCGUAUCCCAAUCCCAACAAAAGACAGGCUCCUAAAAAGAACCGCACGCACGUUGAAGGCUGGAAUGCAACCAAGAGUGUCCACGCCAGGAGAGAGCCCCAAACGCUCUAUCCUAGGGUGGAAGUGUGCGCAUGCACCAGAGGAGGCGCGUACUUGCUUGGAUAGACACACUGCUCGCGCAAAGAAGCGCAGUCAUGUGACCCCACGCACACACACACACACACACACGUCCCCGCUUUAUCCCCCUGAGCAGUAGGUUUUAGCACGCUGGACAGUUCUUGUUCAGAGCAUCAACACACACACAUUUUGCAUUGAAAUGUAGAUGGUUAAUUUAAAGAUCACUUCAUUAGCUAUCUAAUGACAUCUGCCACCUCAAAAAUGUAAUGCUGCCUAAGUUUGUGUUAUUCAUUCAACUGCAUGAGUAUUAUUGUAGUUUGCAGUAAUGUACGACUGCAAUGGGUCUAAUUGAGAGCCGUUUUGGACUCUUGAGAAGCUAGGGAUGUUGUUUGAUAAGGAAUUAUCGAGUUCGAGCCUAUUAUCGAAUCCUCUUAUCGAACCGAUUCCUUAUCGAUUCUCUUAUCGAGUCCAGAUAGGUUGUUGUAUAUUGAAAAAAACACAAAAUAUUUGGUUUAACAAAAGCUCACUUUUAUUAUAUAACAAAAAAAAGGAAAUCUAAUAAAUAAAGAAAUAUUAACUGUUACCCUCCUAAAAAAAAUAAAAUAAAAUAAAUAAAUAUUGACUGUUGUUACACAAAGUAUAUUAAGUGGGAUUUUUCAGAAAAACAAAUAUAUACAGUAACACAAAAACAACCUGUGUCUGUGAUCACUAUACGUGUAUAAAUAAUAAUAUAAUGUUAAAUAAAAUCAGUCC